CACGUAGUUCUCCACCGGGAGGUCAUCUUUCUGGUCAUCAGAACUCCUUGUGUCCUGGUUGUGAGAACACCAAAUAGUAACGCACACCAAGAGUGCCCUGUGUCCUGGAUGCCAGGUCAGGCACUCUCCCUGGGACAUCUGAUUGGAUCCUUACGUCGAGUCUCUAAGCUCAGGGGACAGCAACACUCACAGGCACAGCCCUCCCUGUUAUCCCUGGACCCCAUCUCAGUGACCUCAUGAAAAGCCAAGACCAAAGCCCAGAGUCACAGACACUCUGGACUCACAGCCUCACAGUGGUCAGUGCUUGGAUUAGAGGCUUCCAGGCGUCAGGGCAGAGCCCAUUCCUGCCCAGCCAUGGCGCCCACCUGGGUGGCCAGGCCUCUCCUUCCUGGGCCCUCCUCACCCCUUCUACUCACAUGGCUGCCUGAGGGAUUCGCGUUGGCACGAGCAGGCUGUGUCUCCACACCGGCGAGUUUCUUCCCCCCAUUGCCCUGCCAG
rnacentral:lncRNA from 1 species